rnacentral:hammerhead_ribozyme from 1 species
AUUCAGCUGACGAGUCCCAAAUAGGACGAAAAGCAAGUUCUGAAU